CCUACGGGAGGCAGCAGUGGGGAAUAUUGGGCAAUGGGCGCAAGCCUGACCCAGCAACGCCGCGUGAAGGAAGAAGGCUUUCGGGUUGUAAACUUCUUUUCUCAGGGACGCAGCAAGUGACGGUACCUGAGGAAUAAGCCACGGCUAACUACGUGCCAGCAGCCGCGGUAAUACGUAGGUGGCAAGCGUUAUCCGGAUUUACUGGGUGUAAAGGGCGUGUAGGCGGGGACGCAAGUCAGAUGUGAAAACCACGGGCUCAACCUGUGGCCUGCAUUUGAAACUGUGUGUCUUGAGUACUGGAGAGGCAGACGGAAUGCGUGGUGUAGCGGUGAAAUGCGUAGAUAUUGGGAGGAACACCGGUGGCGAAGGCGGUCUGCUGGACAGCAACUGACGCUGAGGCGCGAAAGCGUGGGGAGCGAACAGGAUUAGAUACCCGGGUAGUC
rnacentral:rRNA from 1 species